rnacentral:rRNA from 1 species
UACGUAGGGGGCUAGCGUUGUCCGGAAUCAUUGGGCGUAAAGCGCGCGUAGGCGGCUUGGCAAGUCGGCCGUGAAAUCUCCAGGCUCAACUUGGAGGGGUCGGGCGAGACUGCUGGGCUCGAGGUGGGCAGAGGGCAGUGGAAUUCCGGGUGUAGUGGUGGAAUGCGUAGAGAUCCGGAGGAACACCAGUGGCGAAGGCGGCUGCCUGGGCCUGGCCUGACGCUGAGGCGCGAAAGCGUGGGGAGCGAGUCCGG